UACGAAGGGGGCUAGCGUUGCUCGGAAUCACUGGGCGUAAAGCGCACGUAGGCGGCUUUCUAAGUCAGGGGUGAAAUCCUGGAGCUCAACUCCAGAACUGCCUUUGAUACUGGAGAGCUCGAGUCCGGAAGAGGUGAGUGGAACUGCGAGUGUAGAGGUGAAAUUCGUAGAUAUUCGGAAGAACACCGGUGGCGAAGGCGGUCUGCUGGGGUAAUGCUGGACACUGAGGCGCGACGAGCGUGGGGAGCAAACAGGG
rnacentral:rRNA from 1 species